rnacentral:rRNA from 1 species
CGCUGGCGGCGUGUUUCACACAUGGAAGAAGAACGAACCUUCGGGUUAGUGGCGGACGGGUGAGUAACGCGUGUUCCCCUGCCCUCAGGAGGGGGAUAACGGUUGGAAACGACCGCUAAUACCCCAUAUGCCGAGAGGUGAAAAGAAAUUCGCCUGAGGAUGAGCUCGCGUCUGAUUAGCUAGUUGGUGUGGUAAUGGCGCACCAAGGCUUCGAUCAGUAGCUGGUCUGAGAGGAUGAUCAGCCACACUGGGACUGAGACACGGCCCAGACUCCUACGGGAGGCAGCAGUGGG